GUUUGAUCAUGGCUCAGGAUGAACGCUGGCGGCGUGCCUAAUACAUGCAAGUCGAACGUGAUUCUCGUUUUCGGAUGAGAUGAAAGUGGCGCACGGGUGAGUAACACGUAGCUGACCUGCCCUUCAGUGGGGAACAACGGGUGGAAACGCCCGCUAAUACCGCAUACGCUCUCGGCAGCUAGACAACCGAGAGGAAAGCUUUAGUGCUGAAGGAGGGGGCUGCGGCCCAUCAGGUAGUUGGUGCGGUAACGGCGCACCAAGCCGACGACGGGUAGGGGGCCUGAGAGGGUGACCCCCCACACUGGGACUGAGACACGGCCCAGACUCCUACGGGAGGCAGCAGUAAGGGAUAUUGCGACAAUGGACGCAAGUCUGACGCAGCAACGCCGCGUGAGGGAUGACGGCCUUCGGGUUGUAAACCUCUUUUCUGUGGGAAGAGACAGGACGGUACCACAGGAAGAAGUCACGGCUAACUACGUGCCAGCAGCCGCGGUAAAACGUAGGUGGCAAGCGUUAUCCGGAUUUACUGGGUGUAAAGCGUGUGCAGGCGGUCGUGUAAGUAGCGCGUGAAAGCGCCCGGCUCAACCGGGCGAGGACGUGCUGUACUGCACGACUGGAGAUGGGUAGAGGCGAGUGGAAUUCCGGGUGUAGUGGUGAAAUGCGUAGAUAUCCGGAGGAACACCGGAGGCGAAGGCGACUCGCUGGGCCCGUUCUGACGCUCAGACACGACAGCAUGGGGAGCGAACGGGAUUAGAAACCCCGGUAGUCCAUGCCGUAAACGAUGCAGACUAGGUAUCGCGGGGGUAAAACCCGGCGGCGCCGCAGCCAACGCGCUAAGUCUGCCACCUGGGGACUACGGCCGCAAGGUUAAAACUCAAA
rnacentral:rRNA from 1 species